rnacentral:lncRNA from 1 species
ACGUCGGUCAGCUAUCCACAGUCAAAUGGAGAGAUGGAAGUAACGAACCGAACAAUCCUACACAGACUAAAAACCCGUCCUAAUAAAGCUAAAAACCUCUGGGUGGAAGAACUAUAUCCAAUCUUAUGGACGUAUCGAAUGACUCUCCACAUACCGACCGGAGAAUCCUCCUUCAAUUUAGCUUAUUGGACAGAAGCAAUGAUACCGCU